rnacentral:rRNA from 1 species
AUGAACGCUGACGGCGUGCCUAAUACCUGCAAGUCGAGCGAACAGAUGAGGAGCUUGCUCCUCUGACGUUAGCGGCGGACGGGUGAGUAACACGUGGAUAACCUACCUAUAAGACUGGGAUAACUUCGGGAAACCGGAGCUAAUACCGGAUAAUAUAUUGAACCGCAUGGUUCAAUAGUGAAAGACGGUUUUGCUGUCACUUAUAGAUGGAUCCGCGCCGCAUUAGCUAGUUGGUAAGGUAACGGCUUACCAAGGCAACGAUGCGUAGCCGACCUGAGAGGGUGAUCGGCCACACUGGAACUGAGACACGGUCCAGACUCCUACGGGAGGCAGCAGUAGGGAAUCUUCCGCAAUGGGCGAAAGCCUGACGGAGCAACGCCGCGUGAGUGAUGAAGGUCUUCGGAUCGUAAAACUCUGUUAUUAGGGAAGAACAAAUGUGUAAGUAACUAUGCACGUCUUGACGGUACCUAAUCAGAAAGCCACGGCUAACUACGUG